rnacentral:rRNA from 1 species
UACGGAGGGAGCUAGCGUUGUUCGGAAAUACUGGGCGUAAAGCGAACGUAGGCGGCUUGGCAAGUCAGGGGUGAAAUCCCAGAGCUCAACUCUGGAACUGCCCUUGAAACUGCUUGGCUAGAAUCCUGGAGAGGCGAGUGGAAUUCCGAGUGUAGAGGUGAAAUUCGUAGAUAUUCGGAAGAACACCAGUGGCGAAGGCGACUCGCUGGACAGGUAUUGACGCUGAGGUUCGAAAGCGUGGGGAGCAAAC